rnacentral:misc_RNA from 1 species
UCCAGCUUAUCGCUGGCGGUCUCCUGAGAGUGCCCAACUAAAUGAUGGCAACACAAGACAAGGGUUGCGCUCGUUGCGGGACUUAACCCAACAUCUCACGACACGAGCUGACGACAGCCAUGCAGCACCUGUGUUCCAGUUCCCUUUCGGGCACAGCCGCCUUUCAGCAGCCUUCCGGACAUGUCAAGGGUAGGUAAGGUUUUUCGCGGUGCAUCGAAUUAAUCCACAUAAUCCACCGCUUGUGCGGGUCCCCGUCAAUUCCUUUGAGUUUUAACCUUGCGGCCGUACUCCCCAGGCGGGAUGCUUAAAGCGUUAGCUGCGGCACGGAGGGGGUCGACACCCCCCACACCUAGCAUCCACCGUUUAGGGCGUGGACUAC